GUAGGGAAUAUUGGGCAAUGGAUGCAAGUCUGACCCAGCCAUCCCGCGUGCCGGAAGAAGGCCCUCAGGGUUGUAAACGGCUUUUGACGGUGAAGAAUCGACAGGAUGCGUCCUGUUUUGACGGUAGCCGUUGAAUAAGCACCGGCUAACUCCGUGCCAGCAGCCGCGGUAAUACGGAGGGUGCGAGCGUUGUCCGGAUUUAUUGGGUUUAAAGGGUGCGUAGGCGGAGCGUUAAGUCAGUGGUGAAAUCCUGCAGCUUAACUGUAGACUUGCCAUUGAUACUGGCGCUCUUGAGUGCGCUUGAAGUGGGCGGAAUGUGCCGUGUAGCGGUGAAAUGCAUAGAUAUCAUCCAGAACACCGAUUGCGAAGGCAGGUGGCUGUACCUUAAUCGACGCUGAUGCACGAAAGCAUGGGGAGCAAACAGGAUUAGAAACCCGAGUAGUCC
rnacentral:rRNA from 1 species